GAUGAACGCUGGCGGCGUGCCUAACACAUGCAAGUCGAGCGGCAGCGCGAGUAGUUUACUACUUGGCGGCGAGCGGCGGACGGCUGAGUAACGCGUGGGAAUUUGCCCCAAAGUGAGGAAUAACUGCCCGAAAGGGUGGCUAAUGCCGCAUAUGAUCUUCGGAUUAAAGGAUUUAUCCGCUUUGGGAGAAGCCCGCGUCGGAUUAGGUAGUUGGUGAGGUAAUGGCUCACCAAGCCGACGAUCCGUAGCUGGUCUGAGAGGAUGACCAGCCAGACUGGAACUGAGACACGGUCCAGACUCCUACGGGAGGCAGCAGUGAGGAAUCUUCCACAAUGGGCGAAAGCCUGAUGGAGCAACGCCGCGUGCAGGAUGAAGGCCUUUCGGGUUGUAAACUGCUUUAUAAGUGAGGAAAUGACGGUAGCUGAUGAAUA
rnacentral:rRNA from 1 species